rnacentral:rRNA from 1 species
CAUGAUUGAGCUUGCUUCAAUUGAUGGCGACCGGCGCACGGGUGAGUAACACGUAUCCCCCCUUCCGAUAACUCGGGGAUAGCCUUUCGAAAGAAAGAUUAAUACCCGAUAGUAUAGUAUUUCCGCAUGGUUUCACUAUUAAAGAAUUUCGGUUAUCGAUGGGGAUGCGUUCCAUUAGAUAGUUGGCGGGGUAACGGCCCACCAAGUCAACGAUGGAUAGGGGUUCUGAGAGGAAGGUCCCCCACAUUGGAACUGAGACACGGUCCAAACUCCUACGGGAGGCAGCAGUGAGGAAUAUUGGCCAAUGGACGAGAGUCUGAACCAGCCAAGUAGCGUGAAGGAUGACUGCCCUAUGGGUUGUAAACUUCUUUUAUAUGGGAAUAAAGUAUUCCACGUGUGGAAUUUUGUAUGUACCAUAUGAAUAAGGAUCGGCUAACUCCGUGCCAGCAGCCGCGGUAAUACGGAGGAUCCGAGCGUUAUCCGGAUUUAUUGGGUUUAAAGGGAGCGUAGGUGGAUUGUUAAGUCAGUUGUGAAAGUUUGCGGCUCAACCGUAAAAUUGCAGUUGAUACUGGGUGUCUUGAGUACAGUAGAGGCAGGCGGAAUUCGUGGUGUAGCGGUGAAAUGCUUAGAUAUCACGAAGAACUCCGAUUG